AGUGGCGGACGGGUGAGUAACACGUAAGAAUUUGCCUUUAGGAGGGGGACAACAACUGGAAACGGUUGCUAAUACCCCAUAUGCUUUCGAGUGAAAUGGAUUUUUCCGCCUAAAGAGAAGCUUGCGGCUGAUUAGCUUGUUGGUGAGGUAAUGGCUCACCAAGGCGACGAUCAGUAUCUGGUUCGAGAGGAUGAUCAGACACACUGGAACUGAGACACGGUCCAGACUCCUACGGGAGGCAGCAGUGGGGAAUUUUCCGCAAUGGGCGAAAGCCUGACGGAGCAAUCUCGCGUGAGGGAUGACGGCCUAUGGGUUGUAAACCUCUUUUUUCAGGGAGGAACAAAAUGACGUGUACCUGAAGAAUAAGCAUCGGCUAACUCCGUGCCAGCAGCCGCGGUAAGACGGAGGAUGCAAGUGUUAUCCGGAAUCACUGGGCGUGAAGCGUCUGUAGGUGGUUUAAUAAGUCAACUGUUAAAUCUUGAAGCUCAACUUCAAAAUCGCAGUCGAAACUAUUAGACUAGAGUAUAGUAGGGGUAAAGGGAAUUUCCAGUGGAGCGGUGAAAUGCGUAGAUAUUGGAAAGAACACCGAUGGCGAAGGCACUUUACUGGGCUAUUACUGACACUCAGAGACGAAAGCUAGGGUAGCAAAUGGGAUUAGAUACCCCAGUAGUCCUAGCCGUAAACAAUGGAUACUAGAUGU
rnacentral:rRNA from 1 species